ensembl:lncRNA
ACAGUUGCUCUCUAGCAGUCAUGUGAUUUAAACUGACAAUCUUUCAGUCACUAGCUCAGAGCUACCACUGCUCACUUUGACAGAUCUCACCAUAUUUUCUAUGGAUUGGAACUCAAGCUUAUUCUUCAUUUACACUGUAAACCUGCCGACGCAUUGGUGCAUUCUUGAACAGACUGAACGAGUGACUGACUAUAGACUGCAAAUGACAAUCCACCUGUGCUUCACUUCUAAUCUCCCUGGCCCCAGCUGCCUGUCAAUUGAUUUUAAGAUUCUCUAAAUCAAUUACUCGUCUGUCCAAGGUCUCACUGCCAACAGAUCUGCACUGGUAUGUAUGCACUUAGAAAUUCUCUUGCUCUCUCUCUCUCUCUCUCUCUCUCUCUCUCUCUCUCUCUCUCUCUCUUUCGCACUCACACACACGCACACACACACGAAUAAUAAAAGAAAAAGUAAAUGAGGCAGUGUUAGAGUGUAACGUGAGGUGAGAGAGUUCAGCAUUCUGCAGUCUCUAUAGGCUUCUAUCAACUCAAGAUGAUGGACUCUGAGUUUCAUCAGUCU